CAGGACGUCGAAAGACAUCCCAUUCAACCCAUUUGUGAACUUUACCGUCUUGUUGCCUCGGCAGGCGACCUCAGGGGAGGUCUUUGACCAAGUUUUGGUGCCUGUCGUUGGGCCUCUUUAAAUACUUUUAUACAGGUGGUCUGAGCUUUUAGCGCAAACUAUCA
rnacentral:misc_RNA from 1 species